AUUGCUUUAAGGAAAUUAUGUUAUAUAGAGCAAUAAAACUGGAAGGAACCUCAGCAAUCACAUAAUCUGAGUCUCUUAGCCACCUACUCCUCCUCCAAAGCAAGCAUCUCAGAGUGUAUACCCUUAGCACCUCAGUGCCUGCUAUGUCAUAAGUGUUUAGAAUGCUGUUUAAUUGAAUAAAUGUCCAAAGCUUUACAGCCAAAUUUGGAUGUUAUAGUUUUGGAAACCAUAACAAUUGUCAACCUGGUGUGAGUAAACAAUCUGAAGAAGGCGGUUUGAGAACUUUCCCUCAGACCUUUAGGAAGACAUACCUCAUUCUGCCAAGAAUAAAGAAGAGAAACAGACUUUUUGACUUUUAAAAGAUCUUCAGUUUUCUUUUACUGAUUUCUCCAAUGAAAACAGCAUUCAUGAAUGACUCAGGCAUUGUUGAAUCCGCUUAAAUUUUUUCUUUCCAAUUUUGCUUAUUUUAUAUCUUCUGCCUGAAAUGGAAAAAAUCACAGGAUUCACGGUAUCAAAGAAGCAUCUUCAAACAUCCAGACCAAGUGAGAUCUUAUUUUCUCUUUUCUCAAGAGUAUUUAAUUCCUUCUUAUAAUGUUGCUGAAGGCAGUAUUUUAUAUGAUCCAAGAAAACCACAGCAUAUCUUGAAGGCAAAUGUAGAUGUUCUCAUAUUUUAUGAACUAGCCAUUCACAUCCCUGAUAAAUAAAACUUUCAUAAGCUUUUAAAUUCCACAUCUAACUCUUUAAUCUGAAAGCUUUGUUAACAAAGGCAAGAUGCUUUAAUAGCAAAGUAAAGUUUUUGCUCCCCAGAAUGAACAAGAGAUUAAAUGUCAAAAAUAGAAGAAGGUAGUAACAAGGAAGCGGCUGUUUUCUUCCCUCUUAUAUAUGAGAAAAAAGCAAAGAUCGUCUCUAUUGUGACCCCCAGAAUUAAUCAAAUUUGCCUGCUGUCACUACAAUGAUGUAUAGGGUUCUAAAAAGGAGAACCCCAGGAAACUGCUUAGAUCACUUGCUGUGGUAGAAUGAAGUAAGGGGGACAUCUUUUCCUAUGUGGAUCUCAGGCUGAUCAAGGAGGAACGCGCCCCCUGUGUGAGCUGAUAACAGACAAUUCCCACAGAGCUUUUUCAGAAGCUCACCCAAGACCGCCAGUUACUGUCUACCUCACUUUCUGUUCGAAGUCUAGGAGCAGAGUGAAUAAGGACAAUGAUGUGAAAGUAAAUACAACAUGCUGUGGACAUUCUAUCUGGAAAUCUUCAUGAUAUCAACAAAUCUUCUCAUGAGUGAUUCAUAAACUGGAAAAUAGCUCAAGGUAGCUAAGUUUGUCAUUACAUGCAACAACCUGAAAAGGUGCUUUUCUUCUGAGAGAGAGUAAAAACGGUUUCUGAAAGGAAAUCCUUUAGGAAAUUAGAAUGCAUCAUCUGUGAUUUCUAUCUCCAGUUUCUUUAAAAUGGAGCGAGAACUUUAAGAACUUGUGAUGUAACUUUAGUGCAAGAUGCAUCUAAAUUUUUAUGAAAUAUUUGUGAAUAUUUCAUAAUUAUCUUGCCCAUACUACAUUUGAAGGAAGUUUUUUAUAAAACAACUUUGUGUACCAAG
rnacentral:lncRNA from 1 species